AUGGACCUUGAGAUCAUCCUUCGGCUGGACAUGGCACAAGAGGAGAGGUCCCUUAGCUCCGGUGAACGUGACCUCACAAGAGAGCUUAAAAGAAAGAUCAACCAUCAAAGAAGAAAGAAGUUUAUCCACCGCCUCAAGCAUAACACUAUAUGGGUCACAAAUCACAAUGACAAGAAAGAUAUUGUGCAAUCUCACUUUGCUAGAGCCACUGAUUGGGUCUCCGCCUUCCUAUCCACGGCCUCAUCUAGAGUUUUGCUAAACGGUGUUGUUGGUGACCCAAUUAAGCAUGGUUGUGGUCUUCGGCAGGGGGAUCCCCUCUCCCCUCUGCUUUUUGUCCUCGCUAUUGACCCGCUCCAUCACAUCCUCGCCAAGGCUACCGAUCAAGGCCUGCAGCAUCCUCUUCGUGGUCGGCCCAUCCGUGCAUCCUUGUAUGUAGAUGAUGGUACUAUCUUUUUCGCGUCGAUCAAGGAAGAUAUUCACUUCUUGGCUUUGACUCUGAGCUCCUUUGGGGAGGUUACCAGCUUGGUCACCAACUGCGCCAAAAGCCUUGUGGCGCCCAUUUGUUGCGGCAACAUCGACCUUGAAGACAUUUUGCAGGCCUUCCCAGCGGUCCGGGCUACCUUCCCCAUGCGAUAUCUCGGUAUUCCGUUGUCGGUUAGAAGACUAAAGCGUAUCCACUUUCUGUAUUUGGAGGACAAGGUGGCGGGAAAGCUUCCACCUUGGUCGACUAUGCAUGUGGCUACGCUGGGGCGCAUUGUCUUGGUCAAGGUUGUGAUCACUGCCAUUUCCAUUUACCACCUGAUGCCUCUUGACCUUCUAGUUGAAGUGAUGAAUAAGAUCGAUAGCAUGCGGCGUGCCUACCUUUGGGCGAGUUGUGAUAAGGUGAACGGCGAAAUUGAAGGAAUGCGUUGUGCUAGCAACGACAAAGAUCUCUUCACCGCUGCCACACGGGAAUUUGCAACCCUGUGGGAGAUGCUUGCUGAUGUAACCCUCAACCAGGGAAGCAAAGACACCAUAACUUACUCAGUUAGAGAUUGGAGGCUCAAGGCGGUUAAUGGUGGAGGUGGAUCGGUUACUAGAUUGAAUGAUAAAUUUUCGUCUUUGAAACCUAGUAUGACAAUGGUGUUUGCAUGUGUCCCUUUCCCUUACAACCGGUUCAAUACAACUUUCGAUCUCGGGUGGACACCGUGCAAUCAGAGGAAGAAAAUGGAGGUCGACUACGAGGAGGAGAUGGCCCUCUACAUUGCGCUUGAGUGGUCCAAGGUGGAGACCGGCGGCAGCUCCAGAUCUGGAGCGUCACCGCACCUCCCGCGCCGGCGCAGCGCAGACGCUGGAGCUGGACCCUCCCGGCCCGUGCAGCGACACCCGGCCACAGUCUGCGCCGGUCCCGUGUUGGCUCCUUCCCCCGCUGGCCGUUGUUGCACAUGGCUAGCGUUGGGUGCUUGUGCCUGCGCCUCUGGCAUGCAGGCGCAUUCUGGAGUCAGAGGAAGGCAGCGUGCACGGGAGAGGAAGGCGGCGGAGCAGUCCGCGCGCCGCUGCCACGGACGGAGCCGGACGCCGACGAGGACGCGCGUCUCCUCGCCUGGGUUUCAAUUUGGUUGUCCGUCGUUUGAUCACGCAUCAUGGAUUCAUGGUCAAUAUUGGUUACUGGGCCAUCAGAUUCUGAAGAAAUUACCGAACGCCCAGCUCGCCUGCCGUACAGUGUAG
rnacentral:rRNA from 1 species